GUUGACCUCGGAUCACGUAGG
rnacentral:rRNA from 1 species